UUGGGAGUUUAUCUUUGGUUUUUUUUUUUUCUAGGGGGAUUUUUUCGGAGAAAAUCGCCAUGGAGAAAAGUGCAGAUGAGGUCUUAUUCGAAUUUUCAGAGGAAGUCUGCAUUUGUUAGCACUCCGAUAUUUUACGUGAAUGCUGGUCCUCAUAUUGGGCAUUUAUAUAGUGCCGCGAUGGCUGAUGCUGUGGCAAGGUACAAUAAAAUGCUGGGGCUCGAGACAUUUCUAAGUACCGGAACUGAUGAACAUGGGAAUAAAGUCAGGAGUGCUGCAGGAUUGAAUAAUUUAUCGCCUGAGAAUUACUGCGACGAGAUUUCAACGUUGUUUAGAGGGAUGUGUGAUGAUUUCGAUAUUGAUUACUCCAAGUUUAUCAGAACUACUGAUAAAAAACAUCAGCAGGGUGUUUACAAAUUCUGGGCCAGUCUACAAAACUCUGGGCACCUGUACCUCGGCAAGUACUCAGGAUGGUACUGUGUCUCUGACGAGGCUUUUGUGCUCCCGUCCGAUUUGGAGGACUUGAAAAAGCCAGAUGGAAGCACAAUAAAAAUUUCCUCAGUAUCUGGGAACCCAGUGGAGUGGAUGGAGGAGGAAAACUACAAAUUUCGAUUGAGUUCGUUCCAGGAUGACCUAAGACACUGGUUGAAGGAUGAAAAAUGCGUCCAGCCAUUAAAGUACCAUAAAUUAUUAUCAAAUUGGGUGGAGGAAGGAUCUUGUCUAGAGGAUCUCAGUGUCUCCAGGCCUGCAGCAAGGGCCCCCUGGGCCAUUCCAGUCCCCAAUGACCAUUCACACACAGUCUACGUCUGGCUGGACGCUUUGAUAAAUUAUCUGACAGUCCUGGGGUAUCCUGACGAUGAUUACAAAAAAUUCUGGCCUCCAAAAGUCCAAGUGAUAGGUAAAGAUAUUUUGAAGUUUCAUGGGGUGUACUGGCCUGCAUUUUUGAUAGCCGCAGGGAUGGAACCCCCUAGGACUAUCCUCUGUCACUCCCACUGGACAGUGAAUGAUGAAAAAAUGUCAAAAUCGAAGGGAAAUGUUGUGGCACCGUCCAAGGCAGCUGAGAUGUUCACUCCAGAUGGUCUCAGGUACUUCCUCCUGCGAGAGGCUGUGCCUCACAGUGAUGCAAAUUACAAUGAAGAGAAGAUCCGGAAAAUUCUCAACGCAGAAUUGGCAGACACCCUCGGGAACUUGUUCAGCAGGUGCAUGGGUAGAGCUGUAAAUCCACGUGGAGCUACCCCAGAGGCCUCGAUAAUCCACAAGGACAUUUUAGGCACAGAGGAAGCUAAAAAUCUCGUGGAGAGUCUCCACCGUUUGCCUGGAACAGCCCAAAGUGCCUACCAAGAUUUCAAUUUCCAUCAGGUGGUCGAUGCAGUCAUGAACUCUCUGCGAUGCGCCAACAAGAUGAUCGAGCAUCACAAGCCCUGGGCUCUAGUCAAGUUAAACGACGAAAAAUCGAUGACUCAACUCGAAGCAGUUCUGGCACUUGGACUCGAGUCUGUCAGAGUCAGUGCUUUAAUUCUUCUUCCAAUCGUCCCCAGACUGGCUCACAAUCUUCUCUCUCACCUCGACAUUCCCAUGGACUCGAGACAAUGGAUUAACACAGAAUUCUCAAGAACUGGAAGAGCCACAGAAGGUAUUCAGGAGGAGAGACUCAACAAUUUGAUUUUAUUCAAGAGGAUUAAGUGAAUUUCCAAGAUAAUCACUUGAUAAUAAUCUGAAGUGAAUGUUGAAUUCAUUUUCACGUCAGGAUUGCAUUUGAUGAGCGGAUUUGGACGACUCUUUUGGAUUUUUUAUUUGGAGUAAUGGAAAAUAUGACUUACUCUCGGUACGA